rnacentral:rRNA from 1 species
UACGGGGGGGGCAAGCGUUGUUCGGAAUUACUGGGCGUAAAGGGCUCGUAGGUGGCCAACUAAGUCAGACGUGAAAUCCCUCGGCUUAACCGGGGAACUGCGUCUGAUACUGGAUGGCUUGAGUUUGGGAGAGGGAUGCGGAAUUCCAGGUGUAGCGGUGAAAUGCGUAGAUAUCUGGAGGAACACCGGUGGCGAAGGCGGCAUCCUGGACCAACACUGACACUGAGGAGCGAAAGCCAGGGGAGGCAAACGGG